rnacentral:rRNA from 1 species
GACGAACGCUGGCGGCGUGCCUAAUACAUGCAAGUCGAGCGGACGAAUCGAAAGCUUGCUUUUGAUUCGUUAGCGGCGGACGGGUGAGUAACACGUGGGCAACCUGCCCUGUAGACGGGGAUAACACCGAGAAAUCGGUGCUAAUACCGGAUAACGCGAAAUGUCGCAUGACGUUUCGUUGAAAGACGGCGCAAGCUGCCGCUACAGGAUGGGCCCGCGGCGCAUUAGCUAGUUGGUGAGGUAACGGCUCACCAAGGCGACGAUACGUAGCCGACCUGAGAGGGUGAUCGGCCACACUGGGACUGAGACACGGCCCAGACUCCUACGGGAGGCAGCAGUAGGGAAUCUUCCGCAAUGGACGAAAGUCUGACGGAGCAACGCCGCGUGAGCGAAGAGGGCCUUCGGGUCGUAAAGCUCUGUUGUUAGGGAAGAACAAGUAACGCAGUAACUGGCGUUACCGUGACGGUACCUAACGAGAAAGCCACGGCUAACUACGUG